rnacentral:rRNA from 1 species
UGCGAACGCUGGCGGCAGGCCUAACACAUGCAAGUCGAACGGACCCUUCGGGGUUAGUGGCGGACGGGUGAGUAACACGUGGGAACGUGCCUUUAGGUUCGGAAUAGCUCCUGGAAACGGGUGGUAAUGCCGAAUGUGCCCUUCGGGGGAAAGAUUUAUCGCCUUUAGAGCGGCCCGCGUCUGAUUAGCUUGUUGGUGGGGUAAUGGCCCACCAAGGCUACGAUCAGUAGCUGGUCUGAGAGGAUGACCAGCCACAUUGGGACUGAGACACGGCCCAAACUCCUACGGGAGGCACCAGUGGGGAAUCUUGCGCAAUGGGCGAAAGCCUGACGCAGCCAUGCCGCGUGUAUGAUGAAGGUCUUAGGAUUGUAAAAUACUUUCACCGGUGAAGAUAAUGACUGUAGCCGGAGAAGAAGCCCCGGCUAACUUCGUGCCAGCAGCCGCGGUAAUACGAAGGGGGCUAGCGUUGCUCGGAAUUACUGGGCGUAAAGGGAGCGUAGGCGGACAUUUAAGUCAGGGGU